rnacentral:rRNA from 1 species
AGCCUACGGGGGGCAGCAGUGAGGAAUAUUGGGCAAUGGAGGCAACUCUGACCCAGCCAUGCCGCGUGAGUGAAGAAGGUUUUCGGAUUGUAAAGCUCUUUCGGAUGUGACGAUGAUGACGGUAGCAUCUAAAGAAGCCCCGGCUAACUACGUGCCAGCAGCCGCGGUAAUACGUAGGUGGCAAGCGUUGUCCGGAAUUACUGGGUGUAAAGGGAGCGCAGGCGGGAAGCCAAGUCAGCUGUGAAAACUACGGGCUUAACUUGUAGACUGCAGUUGAAACUGGUUUUCUUGAGUGAAGUAGAGGG